CCUACGGGUGGCUGCAGUGGGGAAUAUUGGGCAAUGGGCGCAAGCCUGACCCAGCAACGCCGCGUGAAGGAAGAAGGCUUUCGGGUUGUAAACUUCUGUUGUCAGGGACGAAGCAAGUGACGGUACCGGACGAAUAAGCCACGGCUAACGACGUGCCAGCAGCCGCGGGAAUACGUAGGUGGCAAGCGUUAUCCGGAUUUACUGGGUGUAAAGGGCGUGUAGGCGGGACUGCAAGUCCGAUGUGAAAACCACGGGCUCAACCGGUGGCCUGCAUUUGAAACGGUAGUUCUUGAGUACUGGAGAGGCAGCCGGAAUUCCUAGUGUAGCGGUGAAAUGCGUAGAUAUUAGGAGGAACACCAGUGGCGACGGCGGUCUGCUGGACAGCAACUGACGCUGAGGCGCG
rnacentral:rRNA from 1 species